AUUGAACGCUGGCGGCAGGCCUAACACAUGCAAGUCGAGCGGAUGAAGGGAGCUUGCUCCUGGAUUCAGCGGCGGACGGGUGAGUAAUGCCUAGGAAUCUGCCUGGUAGUGGGGGAUAACGUCCGGAAACGGGCGCUAAUACCGCAUACGUCCUGAGGGAGAAAGUGGGGGAUCUUCGGACCUCACGCUAUCAGAUGAGCCUAGGUCGGAUUAGCUAGUUGGUGGGGUAAAGGCCUACCAAGGCGACGAUCCGUAACUGGUCUGAGAGGAUGAUCAGUCACGCUGGAACUGAGACACGGUCCAGACUCCUACGGGAGGCAGCAGUGGGGAAUAUUGGACAAUGGGCGAAAGCCUGAUCCAGCCAUGCCGCGUGUGUGAAGAAGGUCUUCGGAUUGUAAAGCACUUUAAGUUGGGAGGAAGGGCAGUAAGUUAAUACCUUGCUGUUUUGACGGUACCUACAGAAUAAGCACCGGCUAACUUCGUG
rnacentral:rRNA from 1 species